AGGCAAUGAGGAUAACAAUAUUUGUACGACUUGAAUAUGAGUUAUAUUAUACGCUAUUCUGAGCCCUUC